rfam:Gossypium hirsutum cultivar TM-1 chromosome 20, whole genome shotgun sequence
AGGAGCUGUAUGAGGUGAAAAUCUCAUGUACGGUUUUGGACUAGCGAUGGAAAUAGUGAUGUUAUUAUUGGAAAUCAUUCAUAUUUAU